AGCAGCCGCGGUAAUUCCAGCUCCAAUAGCGUAUAUUAAAGUUGUUGCAGUUAAAAGCUCGUAGUUGAAUUUCGGGGUUAGUAGGUUGGUCAUGCCUCUGGUAUGUACUGGUCUCACUGAUUCCUCCUUCCUGAUGAGCCGUAAUGCCAUUAAUUUGGUGUUGCGGGGAAUUUGGACUGUUACUUUGAAAAAUUAGAGUGUUUAAAGCAGGCUCGCGCUUGAAUACAUUAGCAUGGAAUAAUGAAAUAGGACGUUUGAUUCUAUUUUGUUGGUUUCUAGGAUCGACGUAAUGAUUAAUAGGGAUAGUUGGGGGCAUUAGUAUUCAAUUGUCAGAGGUGAAAUUCUUGGAUCUAUUGAAGACUAACUACUGCGAAAGCAUUUGCCAAGGAUGUUUUCAUUAAUCAAGAACGAAAUUAGGGAUCGAAGACGAUCAGAUACCGUCGUAGUCUUAACCAUAAACUAUGCCGACUAGGGAUCGGAUGAUGUUAAUUUUUUANGUACUUCAUUUCC
rnacentral:rRNA from 1 species